UUCCGGUUGAUCCUGCCGGAGGCCAUUGCUAUCGGAGUCCGACUUAGCCAUGCUAGUUGCGCGAGUUCAGACUCGCAGCAGAUAGCUCAGUAACACGUGGCCAAGCUACCCUGCAGACACGGACAACCUCGGGAAACUGAGGCUAAUCCGCGAUACCGAUCCCAGGCUGGAACAGCCGGGAUCACCAAACGCUCCGGCGCUGCAGGAUGCGGCUGCGGCCGAUUAGGUAGACGGUGGGGUAACGGCCCACCGUGCCGAUAAUCGGUACGGGUUGUGAGAGCAAGAGCCCGGAGACGGAAUCUGAGACAAGAUUCCGGGCCCUACGGGGCGCAGCAGGCGCGAAACCUUUACACUGCACGCAAGUGCGAUAAGGGGACUCCGAGUGCGAGGGCAUAUAGUCCUCGCUUUUGAGAACCGUAAGGCGGUUCUCGAAUAAGAGCUGGGCAAGACCGGUGCCAGCCGCCGCGGUAAUACCGGCAGCUCAAGUGAUGGCCAAUCUUAUUGGGCCUAAAGCGUCCGUAGCUGGCCGUGAAAGUUCGUCGGGAAAUCCAUCCGCUCAACGGAUGGGCGUCCGGCGAAAACUUCACGGCUUGGGACCGGAAGGCUCGAGGGGUACGUCUGGGGUAGGAGUGAAAUCCUGUAAUCCUGGACGGACCACCGAUGGCGAAAGCACCUCGAGAAGACGGAUCCGACAGUGAGGGACGAAAGCUAGGGUCUCGAACCGGAUUAGAUACCCGGGUAGUCCUAGCCGUAAACAAUGUUCACUAGGUGUGGCACAGGCUACGAGCCUGUGCUGUGCCGUAGGGAAGCCGAGAAGUGAACCGCCUGGGAAGUACGUCCGCAAGGAUGAAACUUAAAGGAAUUGGCGGGGGAACACUACAACCGGAGGAGCCUGCGGUUUAAUUGGACUCAACGCCGGU
rnacentral:rRNA from 1 species